UACGGGGGGGGCAAGCGUUGUUCGGAAUUACUGGGCGUAAAGGGCUCGUAGGCGGCCAACUAAGUCGGACGUGAAAUCCCUCGGCUUAACCGGGGAACGGCGUCCGAUACUGGAUGGCUUGAGUUUGGGAGAGGGAUGCGGAAUUCCAGGUGUAGCGGUGAAAUGCGUAGAUAUCUGGAGGAAUACCGGUGGCGAAGGCGGCAUCCUGGACCGACAUUGACGCUGAUGAGCGAAAGCUAGGGGAGCAAACGGG
rnacentral:rRNA from 1 species